rnacentral:rRNA from 1 species
AUGACCACAAGUUCUAACAGGGUUCAUACGGAUUGUGGUUCCAACAGGGAGCAUGGGCGUCAUAACCCUCCCUGCGGAGAAAGCUAUUCUCCGCACGGAAUUGUCACGUCCCCUGGUGCGUCCCAGGACUCCAAGGCCGAAGAGAAUGGCUCGACACGACCCAAGAGAAAGACCAUGCCCAAUCGUGGUUUUGAUCCAGCUGCUCAAGUAGCCAGAGACGCUACGGCCGCCGAGCAGGCUCCACCAGCUCCAGAUGGACCUCGUCCUGAUGUUUCAGGGGGCACACUUCAGCUCAACCUGGCCAACAACACGGUUGACAGAAACCAGAUGACUACAAGUUCCAACAGGGUUCAUACGGAUUGUGGUUCGAAGAGGCAGCAUGGGCGUCAUAACCCUCCCUGCGGCGAAAGCUAUUCUCCGCACGGAAUUGUCACGUCCCCUAGUGCAUCCCAGGACUCCAAGGCCGAAGAGAAUGGCUCGACACGACCCAAGAGAAAGACCAAGCCCAAUCGUGGUUUUGAUCCAGCUGCUCAAGUAGUUAGAGACGCUACGGCCGCCGAGCAGGCUCCACCAGCUCCAGAUGGACCUCGUCCUGAUGGUUCAAGGGGCACACUUCAGCUCAACCUGGCCAACAACACGGUUGACAGAAACCACAUGACUACAAGUUCCAACAGGGUUCAUACGGAUUGUGGUUCCAACAGGGAGCAUGGGCGUCAUAACCCUCCCUGCGGAGAAAGCUAUCCUCCGCACGAAAUUGUCACGUCCCCUGGUGCGUCCCAGGACUCCAAGGCCGAAGAGAAUGGCUCGACACGACCCAAGAGAAAGACCAAGCCCAAUCGUGGUUUUGAUCCAGCUGCUCAAGUAGCCAGAGAAGCUACAGCCGCCGAGCAGGCUCCACCAGCUCUAGAUGGACCUCGUCCUGAUGGUUCAGGGGGCACACUUCAGCUCAACCUGGCCAACAACAUGGUUGACAGAAACCAGAUGACUACAAGUUCCAACAGGGUUCAUACGGAUUGUGGUUCCAACAGGGAGCAUGGGCGUCAUAACCCUCCCUGCGGAGAAAGCUAUUCUCCGCAUGGAAUUGUCACGUCCCCUAGUGCGUCCCAGGACUCCAAGGCCGAAGAGAAUGGCUCGACACGACCCAAGAGAAAGACCAAGCCCAAUCGUGGUUUUGAUCCAGCUGCUCAAGUAGCCAGAGACGCUACAGUCGCCGAGCAGGCUCCACCAGCUCUAGAUGGACCUCGUCCUGAUGGUUCAGGGGGCACACUUCAGCUCAACCUAACCAACAACACGGUUGACGGAAACAUGGUUACAAGUUCCAACAGGGUUCAUACGGAUUGUGUUUCCAACAGGAAGCAUGGGCGUCAUAACCCUCCCUACGGAGAAAGCUAUUCUCCGCACAGAACUUUCACGUCCCCAGGUGCGUCUCAGGACUCCAAGGCAUCAGAGGAUUCUCUGACGCGCAGCCGCUUGUAG